rnacentral:rRNA from 1 species
GAUGAACGCUGGCGGCGUGCCUAAUACAUGCAAGUCGAGCGAACGGACGAGAAGCUUGCUUGUCUGAUGUUAGCGGCGGACGGGUGAGUAACACGUGGAUAACCUACCUAUAAGACUGGGAUAACUUCGGGAAACCGGAGCUAAUACCGGAGAAUAUUUUGAACCGCAUGGGUCAAAAGUGAAAGACGGUCUUGCUGGCACUUAUAGAUGGAUCCGCGCUUCAUUAGCUAGUUGGUAAGGUAACGGCUUACCAAGGCAACGAUGCAUAGCCGACCGGAGGGGGUGAUCGGCCACACUGGAACUGAGACACGGUCCAGACUCCUACGGUAGGCAGCAGUAGGGAAUCUUCCGCAAUGGGCGAAAGCCUGACGGAGCAACGCCGCGUGAGUGAUGACGGUCUUCGGAUCGUAAAACUCUGUUAUUAGGGAAGAACCUAUGUGUAAGUAACUGUGCACAUCUUGACGGUACCUAAUCAGAAAGCCACGGCUAACUACGUG